AUGUACAUAUGUACGUACAUACGUACAUAUGUACACGUAUAUAUGUACGUACAUACGUACGUAUGUACGUACAUAUGUACGUACAUACGU
rnacentral:miRNA from 1 species